rnacentral:rRNA from 1 species
UACGUAGGGGGCGAGCGUUGUCCGGAUUUAUUGGGCGUAAAGAGCUCGUAGGCGGUUCGAUAAGUCGGAUGUGAAAUCUCCACGCUUAACGUGGAGGGUGCAUUCGAUACUGUCGUGACUAGAGUCCGGUAGAGGAGUGUGGAAUUCCUGGUGUAGCGGUGAAAUGCGUAGAGAUCGGGAGGAACACCAGUGGCGAAGGCGGCUACCUGGACCAGCACUGACACUGAGGCACGAAAGCGUGGGGAGCAAACAGG